GGCUGUAUCACGUUGAAACAUUGGUUCCCGUACGAUCACCGAAGUUAAACAGUCGAGACUGGCCAGUACCUAAAUGGGUGACCGCUUGUGAAUACCAGGUUCUGUAAG